AUGCCAGCUUGCUUUUUGUUUGCUUGUGUGUUAGUUUGCUUGAUUGCCACGAUGGAUCAAGAUAAUAUUAAAUUGUGUGACUUCACCAAUACCAACAACAAUGAUUUUAUUAGCACUCUGAUUGCUCCUCUUACCGAUGCUGAAUCUUGUGAAAUUAAUACUGCUUUGCUGAAUCUUGUCAUGAAAGAUCCGUUUUCUGGCCUUCCUAGUGAAGAUGCCGCUACCCAUGUGAAUAGCUUCGUUGAUUUGUGUGACAUGCAAAAUAAGAAAGAUGUGGAUAAUGAUAUUGUUAAAUUGAAGCUAUUUCCUUUUUCGCUUAGAGAUCGUGCUAAAGCUUGGUUUUCGUCUUUGCCUAAAAAUAGUAUUGAUUCAUGGAACAAGUGCAAAGAUGCUUUUAUCUCUAAGUAUUUUCCUCCCGCUAAGAUAAUCUCUCUUAGAAACGAUAUUAUGAAUUUUAAGCAACUUGAUCAUGAACAUGUUGCACAAGCUUGGGAGAGAAUGAAAUUAAUGAUACGCAAUUGCCCUACUCAUGGUUUAAAUUUGUGGAUGAUUGUUCAAGAUUUUUAUGCCGGAUUGAAUUCUGCUUCUAGAAAUCUUUUAGAUUCGGCCGCGGGAGGCACUUUUAUGGAAAUCGCUUUAGGAGAAGCUACUAAACUCCUAGAUAAUAUUAUGGUUAAUUAUUCGCAAUGGCAUACUGAAAGAUCUACUAAUAAAAAGGUGCAUGCGAUAGAAGAAAUUAAUGUUUUGAGUGGAAAGAUGGAUGAACUUAUGAAAUUAUUUGCUAAUAAGAGUGUUUCUUCUGAUACUAAUGAUAUGCCCUUGUCUACUUUGAUUGAGAAUAAUAAUGAAUCUAUGGAUGUGAAUUUUGUUGGUAGGAACAAUUUUGGUAACAACGUGUAUAGAUGA
rnacentral:rRNA from 1 species